rnacentral:rRNA from 1 species
UACGAAGGGUGCGAGCGUUAUUCGGAUUUAUUGGGCGUAAAGGGUGCGCAGGCGGUAUGCUAAGUCAACUGUUAAAUCCCCCAGCCUAACUGGGGAUCGGCGGUAGAUACUGGCGUACUAGAGGGUGGAAGAGAGAAGUGGAAUUCUUGGAGUAGCGGUAAAAUGCGUAGAUCUCAAGAGGAACACCGAUGGCGAAGGCAGCUUCUUGGUCCACAUCUGACGCUCAUGCACGAAAGCGUGGGGAGCAAACAGG